GGUGACUGCCGGUGACAAACCGGAGGAAGGUGGGGAUGACGUCAAAUCAUCAUGCCCCUUAUGACCUGGGCUACACACGUGCUACAAUGGACGGUACAAAGAGCUGCAAGACCGCGAGGUGGAGCUAAUCUCAUAAAACCGUUCUCAGUUCGGAUUGUAGGCUGCAACUCGCCUACAUGAAGCUGGCAUCGCUAGUAAUCGCGGAUCAGCAUGCCGCGGUGAAUACGUUCCCGGGCCUUGUACACACCGCCCGUCACACCACGAGAGUUUGUAACACCCGAAGUCGGUCGAUGGGUAACCUUUUUGGAGCCAGCCGCCUAAGGUGGGUAC
rnacentral:rRNA from 1 species